CUAAAUCCUUCCCCAGCAACAACAACAACAAAAAACAAAAACAAAAGAACCACCACCCGCAACAAUCUCCUCUUUGUCCGAAAAUCUCAAUGCCUCACCAGCUCUGAUUUCCCUUUUUUUCUAAUUUCUAUUUUCUUCUCUGAAAUCUCGAAUCCAAUAACCCUAAUUUUCUCAAUUCUACGAAUCCUGAUCGUGAAUUGGGUUUUUUUUAAUUUUUUUAUGGAGUUGUAGCUUGAGAAGGAGCCGCCGUCCAUGGCGGCGAAGGCGAAUAGCGCGAACUCGUACCACAAGCUUAACGGGGUCCGUCGCUGACGCACCCGGCGUGGUUCGAAAUAGGCGUCUUCUACUUCCGGAUCGCGCCAUGCAUGAUCGACUUUAGAUUGGAUUGGAUCUGGGUUUUGAGCCGGGUUUAGGCUGCCGGCGUCUAUCGCUUCAUAUCGUGACCGGAUGAUCGCUUGAGGAAUCAAAGGGAAGCUCUAUCAAUUACGGAAGCUGAUGAUUUUUCUCUUUCUCUGUCUUGUUAGCUAUUAGUGUAUUGACGUGUGAAUUAAUAUCAAACUUUGGAAGUGUUUCUUUAACAAACAAAUGGAAAGAUUGCUACUUUUCUUUGUUUACAACUAGGCUUCUAUUAUAGAUUUUUGGUACUGCCUGUCAUAAAUCAUGACGCAGUUGUGCUAGUAUACUGCUUGGUUACAUUAGGCAUUUUACUUGAGACAUACAUUUCCAGUUUAUUAGUCUGUAAUAGUUUCAAAGGUAUUUAACAGUAUACAUUUGGUUUGGUAUCCACUAUUUUAUUUUCGCAUUUGUAUCAAUACUACGAACUCCUUAAUACCAUAUAGAGAUAAAUAUAAAGUACAAAUGAUGUCUAGAGAGUAUGAAACUCUAUCAUGUUUGAAAGUAUAUGAAACAAUGUUUUUCUUUUCCUAUUUAUUACGUACUUCAUCCAUUUGGUCCUCUUACUUCUCUGAUAUAGACUAUUACAAUACGCAGGAAGCUGUAGCUAUGACCACUACCAUCCAUGAAAAGAUUUUUAGAAAUGGUUAUUGGAUUGCAGCUGUUUUGUAGUCCUGUGGCAACCUGUUCAGGUAUCCCACAGCACUGAUCGUGUGCUUACCGAUUAAAGAUCUUAGUUUAAUGCUUGCUAGGCAUACGUCCUAAUCAGAUGAAGAGCCAUAAUUGUGGCCAAAGGGUUUCACUUGGAGUUUAACAAAGAAGUUUGGAUCGAAGUAACAAAUUUGGAAGAGUUAUAACUAAGUCAUUGCCCUAUAUGAAUAACACCCUUUUUUAGUAUGAAAAUUUACCCAAGUAGUGGAAUACUUUGGAGUUGAAAGGUGGUGUAUUCAUGGCAGCUCUGGUUGAUCUGUUACACCUGGAUUUCAAAAUUUUCAAGAGUUGAAGUGGUCAUCGGAGCUUAACAAGAGGUUUAAGUCACUUAAAUAGUAGAGUUGGUUGUUGGAGGGGUAUGAUGUAUUCCUGGGUGGUAAACCCUUGUAUAAGAAUUUUUUCUUGUUUCUAUUUUCGGUACUAGGAGACGGUUGCUGUAUUUUUAGUCAUUAAUGUGGAGAAGUUAAUAAUGCUAGAAUUUAAAAAUAUUUUAG